GAUAAAGUUAUUAAGGGCGCACGGUGGAUGCCUUGCCACUAGUAGCAGAUGAAGGACGUUACUAACGAGGAUAUGAAUUGGGGAGCUGGAAGUAAGCUUUGAUACAGAGAUUUACGAAUGGGGGAACCCAGCAAGAGUUAGGUCGGGUUAUCCGCAUGUGCAUACAUAGGAUGUGAGAAGGUAGACCAGGAGAAGUGAAACAUCUGAGUACCCGGAGGAAGAGAAAGAAAAAAGGAUGGCAUGAGUAGCGGCGAGCGAAAGGGGAAGAGCCCAAACCAACAAGCUUGCUUGUUGGGGUUGU
rnacentral:rRNA from 1 species